rnacentral:rRNA from 1 species
AUGCUCUCUUCCUCGGCUCCACCUCAUCCCCGCAUGCCAAACUCACCUGGAAGACUUGGGCUCCUCUUAGCGUCAAGUUCUUCAUAUGGCUGGCCUUACAAGACCGGUGAUGGACAAGCGAGAGACUCGCGGGCCACGGACUGCUGCACAGCCACGCCUGCGCAUUCUGUGACCAGGCCACUGAAUCCAUGCAACACCUCUUGA